rnacentral:lncRNA from 1 species
ACCAAACCAUGAAGCUUGGCGUUGUUAUGAGGAUGGAUGUGCGCUGAAGAAUCGCAUCGCUGGUUUGCAUCCAUCCGUCCCUCUGGAAAUGUGUUUAAUUACAGUUUUCAUUCAUAGAAUCAUAGAAUGGCUUAGGUUGGAAGGGACCUUCAAGAUCAUCAGGCUCCAACCCCCUGCAUUCCAAGAGGUUACGCAAAAUCCAUGCGAUUAGCAAAUGCACUCAUUGCAGGAGUAUGACCAUGACCAUUUGCUUGUUGUUUUUUAUUAGAAAAUGACUAGAAGAUGUACAUCAACUUUUAUUCCAUGUGCUCUUUAAAAUAACACUUUUUUUCUGCAUUAUACCUGUGUGACAUAUGUGAAAGCUGAAUUCAGAAGUUUGAACGAGUUAAAGCAGCGAUGAAAGCUCUUAUUUUUUCUUGGGGGUUUGUAACAAGGCUACAAUCAUGGAAAAGCAUCAACCUGGGACAGUGUGCUGAAAAUUAGAUGGCAAUUUAAGAAGAAUAGCCAAAUAGAUGUGAGAAGUGCUGCUGGUGAAAACAGACAGCAGUUGUUGCUUCUAGGGGACUAGCACCUGUUCAGCCCAAAAAUGCUGAACUUGGGGAAUUUAAAGAAAGAAUAAUCCCAAAACUAACUAAGUAGCAGAGACAUAUUCACCCAUAACUGUGCUGUGUUGUUUUUCUCCUUCCUGCUAGCAAAGAACAAAACCCUGCCUGGAGGAACGCAUCUCUGAACUGGAGGAGAAGGAGAGGAAAAUUUACAGGUUCCUGUGUCUGGAGCAGCACACGCAGUAAUUCGUAGGGCCAGGAGAGGGCAAUAGACACAGGCAUGGGGAGGUGUUGGUGAAGGGUCAUGGAAAAUUCUGCAGGGGAUGAUCCAGAAGCACGGAGAACCAACAAAUGACCAACUCAAAUGAGUUGAACCCAGGGCUGUCCAACCUAACCAAGUAUUUCACCCACAUUUGUGCUGAUUUUGACCAAGUAAAGCAACAUUACUCCUUUCAUGUGAUGCUAUGGAUUAAGUCUCUCUCUUUGUAUGAGGGAAAUAGUCUCUUUGAAGCCACCUGGAAAAGAUUAUCCAUGUCUUUUGGACUCCGUAAGGACAAAAGAAGACAAGGGAACUUUGAUUCCAGAAGAAGAAAUAAAACCCUGAAUCAGGGCACCAAGUUCAUGGAGAGUCUGCACUGGUACCAGGCUUCCCUACAUCCACAUUGCUUCGGGAAGGAAGAGCCUGACACUGAAGUGAGCACACAGGAGGAAACGUGUUGCUGUUACUUUGUGCACAUGAGCCCGUGCUUGCACAUUUUCUGCUUACAGAGAUAA